GUUUGAACUCAUGGUAAAUUAUGUUUUAGAUGAGUCAGACGCUAUCCUGAUUGUCUCCUCACUGGGAAAGCUCAAAAGUUGCUUGACCAUGAUGGGAAUUGAACCCGCGACCUUUGGUUUAUUAGUGCGAUGCUCGACCGACUGAACAUACGUCGUCAAGUCGGUUCGAGAACAUGACCUAUACCAUUUCGCGAGUACUCAGUACAUAUAUUUUCGGUAUAUGGUAUUCAAUAUGAUUAAUGGUAUUCGAUAUGAUUAAAGGUAUUUAAUGUAAAGAUGAUG